CCUACGGGUGGCUGCAGUGAGGAAUAUUGGUCAAUGGUCGGGAGACUGAACCAGCCAAGCCGCGUGAGGGAUGAAGGUACAGAGUAUCGUACACCUCUUUAGGCGGGGAGCAAAGCCGGGCACGUGUGCCCGGAGGGAGAGUACCCGCAGAAUAAGCAUCGGCUAACUCCGUGCCAGCAGCAGCGGUAAUACGGAGGAUGCGAGCGUUAUCCGGAUUUAUUGGGUUUAAAGGGUGCGUAGGCGGAUUUUUAAGUCAGCGGUAAAAUGUCCGGGCUCAACCCGGGCCGGCCGUUGAAACUGGGGAUCUUGAGUGGGCGAGAAGUAUGCGGAAUGCGUGGUGUAGCGGUGAAAUGCAUAGAUAUCACGCAGAACUCCGAUUGCGAAGGCAGCAUACCGGCGCCCGACUGACGCUGAGGCACGAAAGCGUGGGGAUCGAACAGGAUUAGAUACCCCAGUAGUC
rnacentral:rRNA from 1 species